rnacentral:rRNA from 1 species
AUUGAACGCUGGCGGCAGGCCUAACACAUGCAAGUCGAGCGGAUGAAGGGAGCUUGCUCCUGGAUUCAGCGGCGGACGGGUGAGUAAUGCCUAGGAAUCUGCCUGGUAGUGGGGGAUAACGUCCGGAAACGGGCGCUAAUACCGCAUACGUCCUGAGGGAGAAAGUGGGGGAUCUUCGGACCUCACGCUAUCAGAUGAGCCUAGGUCGGAUUAGCUAGUUGGUGGGGUAAAGGCCUACCAAGGCGACGAUCCGUAACUGGUCUGAGAGGAUGAUCAGUCACACUGGAACUGAGACACGGUCCAGACUCCUACGGGAGGCAGCAGUGGGGAAUAUUGGACAAUAGGCGAAAGCCUGAUCCAGCCAUGCCGCGUGUGUGAAGAAGGUCUUCGGAUUGUAAAGCACUUUAAGUUGGGAGGAAGGGCAGUAAGUUAAUACCUUGCUGUUUUGACGUUACCAACAGAAUAAGCACCGGCUAACUUCGU